rnacentral:sRNA from 1 species
UACUUACAAAAUUUCGGUUGCAUGCUG